rnacentral:tRNA from 1 species
CGGAGCGUGGCGCAGUCUGGUAGCGCAUCCGGCUGGGGGCCGGAAGGUCGCAGGUUCGAAUCCUGCCGCUCCGACCA